GAUGAACGCUGGCGGCGUGCCUAAUACAUGCAAGUCGAGCGAACAGACGAGGAGCUUGCUCCUCUGACGUUAGCGGCGGACGGGUGAGUAACACGUGGAUAACCUACCUAUAAGACUGGGAUAACUUCGGGAAACCGGAGCUAAUACCGGAUAAUAUAUUGAACCGCAUGGUUCAAUAGUGAAAGACGGUUUUGCUGUCACUUAUAGAUGGAUCCGCGCCGCAUUAGCUAGUUGGUAAGGUAACGGCUUACCAAGGCAACGAUGCGUAGCCGACCUGAGAGGGUGAUCGGCCACACUGGAACUGAGACACGGUCCAGACUCCUACGGGAGGCAGCAGUAGGGAAUAUUGCGCAAUGGGCGAAAGCUUGACGGAGCAACGCCGCGUGAGUGAUGAAGGUCUUCGGAUCGUAAAACUCUGUUAUUAGGGAAGAAAAAAUGUGUAAGUAACUAUGCACGUCUUGACGGUACCUAAUCAGAAAGCCACGGCUAACUACGUG
rnacentral:rRNA from 1 species